GGCUUCUCAAAAAUAGCAGGGCCAAUGACUCAGUUGACAAGAAAGGGUGUAAAGUUUCAGUGGACAGAAAAAUGUGAAAAAUGUUUUCAAGAACUCAAGCAGAGGCUAGUCUCAGCUCCUGUAUUGACGAUACCUGAAGGUUCAGAGGGAUUUGUGAUUUACAGCGAUGCCUCUAAGCAGGGUUUAGGCUGUGUACUGAUGCAGCAUGGUAAAGUGGUUGCUUAUGCCUCGAGACAGUUGAAGCAGUAUGAGCAAAACUAUCCAACGCAUGAUUUGGAGCUUGCAGCAGUUGUUCACGCCUUAAAGAUAUGGCGUCAUUAUCUUUACGGUGGGAAGUGUGAAAUUUAUACGGACCACAAGAGUCUCAAAUACUUUUUCACACAGAAGGAACUAAAUAUGAGACAGAGGAGAUGGUUGGAGUUAGUGAAGGAUUAUGACUGCACAAUUCAUUACCAUCCGGGUAAGGCUAAUGUAGUUGCAGAUACCCUAAGCAGAAAGACAGGAACACAGUUAGCAGUUUUACCCACAGUACAGGAACACUUGAUAAGGGAGUUUGAUAAAUUGAGAUUGGAAGUUAUCACGCCGCCAACUCAGAUUUCAGCGAGAAUAAGAGCAUUCAUGAUUCAACCUACACUUCGAGAUCGAAUCAAGGAGGCACAAGAUAAAGAUCCAUUUUUACAGAAGAUAAAGGCCGAGAUUGGUAUAGAUAAACAUAUAGGGUUUGAAGUAUCUGCAGAUAAUGCGCUAACUUUCAAAGGAAGGCUGUGUGUACCUAAGGAUGAAAGUAUAAGAAAUGAGAUAUUAGAAGAGGCUCAUUCAACCCCUUAUUCUGCUCAUCCAGGUGGUACGAAAAUGUACCGAGAUCUCCGGGAUGUAUUUUGGUGGAGAAACAUGAAGAGAGGAAUUGGUCUGUUCGUGGAGAGAUGUAUUAUCUGUCAACAGGUUAAGACAGAACAUCAAAGGCCAUCAGGAUUACUGAAACCGUUGGAUAUUCCAGAAUGGAAAUGGGAACACAUAACGAUGGACUUUGUGGUAGGCCUCCCGAGAUCAGCAAAAGGUCACAAUGCUAUCUGGGUAGUGGUGGA
rnacentral:lncRNA from 1 species